CCUGUGCUUAAGCUAAGAAGCUCAGGCAAACAUUUCCCAGAGGCCUCUAGCGUAUCCCCGUAUUGCAGCAGAGCACGAUCAUGCAGGUGGUACAUGUCAUGAGAAAGUAUGCCAUAUUAGACAGAGAAUGGAGGAUAAAGUACAAGAGGUAGAAACGAUGUGAACACUAAGAACAUUGCUUGGAGACGGUCAAAGGAUUGCCAUAGAGAUUGAGAGAAAGGAAAAUGAAGCGGCCCAGGAAGAACCCAAACAGUGGACGACGAUAGAAUAUUGAAAUUAUAA